rfam:Schistosoma mattheei strain Denwood, Zambia genome assembly, scaffold: SMTD_scaffold0000052
GCACUGCCGAGGAGUCCAUACUAGGACGAAACGGCCGUCCAGUAC